rnacentral:rRNA from 1 species
CGCCCUUAGAGUUUGAUCCUGGCUCAGGACGAACGCUGGCGGCGUGCCUAAUACAUGCAAGUCGAACGCAGCUUGCUUUGGUAAGAUGAGUGGCGAACGGGUGAGUAACACGUGGGUAACCUGCCUAUCAGAGGGGGAUAACACUUGGAAACAGGUGCUAAUACCGCAUAGAUUUCUUUCGCAUGAAAAGAGAGGAAAGACGUACGUGUCACUGAUAGAUGGACCCGCGGUGCAUUAGCUAGUUGGUGAGGUAACGGCUCACCAAGGCCAUGAUGCAUAGCCGACCUGAGAGGGUGAUCGGCCACACUGGGACUGAGACACGGCCCAGACUCCUACGGGAGGCAGCAGUAGGGAAUCUUCGGCAAUGGACGAAAGUCUGACCGAGCAACGCCGCGUGAGUGAAGAAGGUUUUCGGAUCGUAAAACUCUGUUGUUAGAGAAGAAUAGGUAGGAGUGACUUCCUGCCAUGACGGUAUCUAACCAGAAGCCACGGUUAACUACGUGCCAGCAGCCGCGGUAAUACGUAGGU